rnacentral:rRNA from 1 species
AUUGAACGCUGGCGGCAUGCCUUACACAUGCAAGUCGAACGGUAACGCGGGGGCAACCCUGGCGACGAGUGGCGAACGGGUGAGCAACACAUCGGAACGUGUCCUUUCAGUGGGGGAUAGCUCGGCGAAAGCCGGAUUAAUACCGCAUACGCACUGAGGUGGAAAGCGGGGGACCUUCGGGCCUCGCGCUGUUGGAGCGGCCGAUGUCGGAUUAGCUGGUUGGUGGGGUAAGAGCCCACCAAGGCGACGAUCCGUAGCGGGUCUGAGAGGACGGCCCGCCACACUGGAACUGAGACACGGUCCAGACUCCUACGGGAGGCAGCAGUGGGGAAUUUUGGACAAUGGGGGCAACCCUGAUCCAGCCAUGCCGCGUGAGUGAAGAAGGCCUACGGGUUGUAAAGCUCUUUCGGCCGGAACGAAAUGGGCGGGGUGAACAAUCCCGUUCGAUGACGGUACCGGAAGAAGAAGCACCGGCUAACUACGUGCCAGCAGCCGCGGUAAUACGUAGGGUGCGAGCGUUAAUAC